rnacentral:rRNA from 1 species
CCUUGCCAGCCCGCUCAGAACUCAAAGGAAUUGACGGGGCCCGCACAAGCGGAGGAGCAUGUGGUUAAUUCGAUGAUACGCGAGGAACUUACCUGGGCUCGAACGUAAGAUGACUGUAGGUGAAAGCUUACAUCUCUUCGGAGCAUUUUACGAGGUGCUGCAUGGUUGUCGUCAGCUCGUGCCGUGAGGUGUCGGGUUAAGUCCCAUAACGAGCGCAACCCCUACCUUUAGUUGCCAUCAGGUAAUGCUGGGGACUCUAAAGGAACUGCCUACGCAAGUAGUGAGGAAGGCGGGGAUGACGUCAAAUCAGCACGGCCCUUACGUCCAGGGCUACACACGUGCUACAAUGGCCGAUACAGAGGGCAGCUACCUGGUGACAGGAUGCAAAUCUCCAAAGUCGGUCUCAGUUCGGAUCGGAGUCUGCAACCCGACUCCGUGAAGUUGGAUUCGCUAGUAAUCGCGCAUCAGCCAUGGCGCGGUGAAUACGUUCCCGGGCCUU